UCGGAGGUGUGAACAUACAAAUUCAUUGUGAGAAUAUUAAUCAUGUUUUUUUUCUGUUCAUUUAUAAGUAAUUUCAAGUUUGUGUAACGUUGAACCGUAUGGAGUUACUAUUCAAAAAGCAGGGACUGUUGAAUUCUAGCUUGAAAUAUACUUAUUCAUGUUACCAUACCAGAAAUGAUUAAUGGAUUAAUUAAUUAUUAAUUAUGUUAUUAAUUAUGUAUAAGAAUGUAUAUGUUAAGGGUCAAGGAAGGGUAAAUUAGAACUUUGCGUGUGGAAAGUUACUGAGUGGUAUGGAAAGUUACUGAGUGAGAAAGGGGGAAGUGCAGAAAGUUCAUAUUCUGUUCAAAUAUGUUGCUGUUGAAAAUGAAUGUUCCUAAGGAGGGAUGCAAAGUGCAACAGUCUAGUUUCAGUUCCUGAUAAGGCAGUUCCUGUGCGGGACCAGGACCUUGAGGGAUGUGGAACUCAACUCCAGAUAACGUCAACAGUUGAAGAGAUAAGACUGCUGGGAGGUGGGCCACAGGGGCCCACCUCAAAGACCAUCUGAUUACAGUCCUAUCUAGCAGACACAUUUCCACGCCCAUGAGGGUCCUAGACUUCAGAAGGACAAUGAAAAUACCAAUCUAUCUUCGACACCGUGAACCAUGAGAUCCUCCUCUUCACCCUCUCAGGGCUGGGCUUCUCAGGCUCUGCACACUCUUGAAUUGCAUCCUACCUGGCAGGCCGCUCCUACCAGGUGACAUGGAGAGGAUCUGUCUGCACCAUGUACUCGCUGGUGUCCUCCAAGGCUUGGUUCUAGGCUCUCUUAUCUCUAUACACCAAGUCACUCAGCUCCAUCAUAUCCUCAUAUGUUCUCUCCUGUCAUUGCUAUGUGAAUGACACUCAACUACGUUUCUCCUUCCCCCUUCUGACACACAGGUGGCAAAACGCAUCUCUGCGUGCCUGGCAGAUAUCUCAGCUUGGGUGUCGGCCCACCACCUCAAGCUCAACCUCGACAAGACGGCACUGCUCUUCCUCCCGAGGAAUACUGUCUGCUCAAAGACCACUCCUCUGCACACUCCACUGGCUUCCAGUCAAAGCUCUCAUCCACUACAAGACCAUGGUGCUUGCCUAUAGAGAAGCAAGAGGAACUGACUAUGCUGACUAUGCUACCUUCAGACUAUGCUCAAACUCUACAACCCAACCACUCCACUCUGCCAUCUCUGGACUCUUGGCCCUCUGCUAAUGACUCAAAUGUAAAUGUACAUCACCAUGAAGAGAAUUAUAUUUAUAAACAUAAUUAUGCAUUUCUGUAUAGUACAGAUCAUGGACCCAUGAUGUAAUUUGGUUACCGGAUGUAAAUCCACUUCACCUACUGUUGUUCAGUAACCAAAACAAAUUGGUAUAUAUUUUUUUUUUCAAACUCAAGAUGUCAUGUCAUAACUGACACCCCAUUCUUUCUGCAGACAUUUGAAUCUCAAGUUGGAGUUUUUGGAAAAUGUGGUCGAAUAAAGAAACUGGGGGAGAUUUUACCCUCCAGAGAUUUUACCCUAAUUCUGUUAAUAAACUUUGCAUCUGCACAGUGCCA